UCCCUUCUAGCUCAGCUGGUAAAGAAUCCGCCUGCAAUGCGGGAGACCUGGGUUCAAUCGCUGGGUAGGGAA
rfam:TPA: Bos taurus chromosome 9, whole genome shotgun sequence.